UCCUGUUGGGACAGAAUUGUGGGAUGUUUUCUAUUUUGAAGCAAAAUGACUUAAUGCUUUAAAAUUUCCUGGUUAAUUUCUGCGUGUGAUCUCUUGGCCUUAUUUCCAUUACCAAUGAAGUUUCUCUUAGGAGGACAUGGCAGUCUGGUGGGAAAUAUGGAUCCACAUUCAGUGACAGGUUAGAAGAGAGAGAAGGAUCAUCAUGAAGCUGUGUUUGAAAAAACUGAAAUGAGUACCUGGUGCAUAGUAGGGUGCAAUGAAGUUAUGAGGGAUGAAAAGAUGAAGGAAUGAAUCAAUGAAUUGCCAUCAUUGUGAAAGAAAUGAACCUCAAUCCUUGGCCACUGAACUUCACCCAUAAUGGAUCUGAGUUUGCCAUAAUCCCUUGGGCUUUGUUUUGAACUGCUGACACCCUUCAUGGUCAUUGUUUUCCCCUAGACUCUAUUAUGUAUUGGCCCAGUUUCAAGUUAUCUCUUAAUUUUAUUCCUUUAUGUAUGUUAUAUCUCAUGAUUUGGACUAUAGCAUUUAUUGCUGUUGACUCUAUUUCCCCCAAAAACCCAUAUUAUCAUUUGUUGACAUCAUAUUAAAAUUUCAGCAUUGAGUUUUGAGGGGAAAAUAAUCCUAUGAGAGUUGAAUCUUGAAACACCUUGUUAUAAAAUGAUUGCUCACCCUCACAGGCUUAUCUGUUACCACUACCACACAUUACUUUCACUCCAUGUGUAAAAAGUAUCCAGUAAGACAGUCUUUAAGGUCUUUCCAUAUGCCAUAUUCUCCUACCCCUGGGCCUUCAUGCUAGCUUUACUAUCUGCCUUAGCACCACCUUCCCUGUUCUUCAUUUGACUGAUUUGGUUUAGGGUGUUAUAUUUUGCCAAAUCUCCUUGCUGAACACCCAAGACUGAAUCUUCAUUUGUCCUAUAGUAACAA